UUGGAAGUUCACAUGGAUGUAGCCAUAUAGAACAGCUCCACUCAUGUGCACUUCCAGCU
rnacentral:pre_miRNA from 1 species